CUGGAGUGGUGAUGGUGACCAUGAAACAUUGCUAUGGAAUCACAAAACUGUUUCAGAAAUUCAGAAACCAAAGAAGGCCUGGCAAGCUGACGAGAAGAAAGUGUCACCUCCAGUCCUAACAUCACUGACUGACAACGUUACAACUUCUGAUGAUGAUGGCGUAGGCCGAAGGAGGAGACAAAAAGCUGCAGUGAAUUACAAGGAGCCCCCCCUGAACAGUAAAAUCAGACGCGGCGACAAAUUCACUGACACCGAGUUCCUGAGGUCGCCGGUUUUCAAGAAUGCCAAGAAGAAGAAAGCAAAAACGAGUCUUGACAGAAAGACAUUGGAGAGCUAGAACUUUUUCUGUGGAUGGAUUGAUUGUUAUAACUCUUUCGUAAACCUUUUGGAGAAAACUUUCAGAGUUUUUAGAGUUUCAGAGAGAAGACUCAUCAGAAAAACUAGAAAUGUUUGCAAGUGUUCCUGCU